AGAAAAUUAGUUAAAAAAUAAUAUUAAUUUGUCAAAUUAAAGUUACCCUUGUAUUUUCUA
rnacentral:tRNA from 1 species